rnacentral:rRNA from 1 species
CAGCCGCCACGGUAAUACGUAGGGCGCAAGCGUUAUCCGGAAUUAUUGGGCGUAAAGAGCUCGUAGGCGGUUUGUCGCGUCUGCCGUGAAAGUCCGGGGCUCAACCCCGGAUCUGCGGUGGGUACGGGCAGACUAGAGUGAUGUAGGGGAGACUGGAAUUCCUGGUGUAGCGGUGAAAUGCGCAGAUAUCAGGAGGAACACCGAUGGCGAAGGCAGGUCUCUGGGCAUUAACUGACGCUGAGGAGCGAAAGCAUGGGGAGCGAACAGGAUUAGAUACCCCUGUAGUCCCUGUCUCUUAUAA